GAUGAACGCUAGCUACAGGCUUAACACAUGCAAGUCGCAGGGUAACAUGAGGAAAGCUUGCUUUCCUUGAUGACGACUGGCGCACGGGUGAGUAACACGUAUCCAACCUUCCCAUAACUACGGGAUAACCCGUUGAAAGACGGCCUAAUACCGUAUGACAUCGUUUGCUGACAUCAAAUAACGAUUAAAGGUUUAGCGGUUAUGGAUGGGGAUGCGUCUGAUUAGCUUGUUGGCGGGGUAACGGCCCACCAAGGCGACGAUCAGUAGGGGUUCUGAGAGGAAGGUCCCCCACAUUGGAACUGAGACACGGUCCAAACUCCUACGGGAGGCAGCAGUGAGGAAUAUUGGUCAAUGGGCGAGAGCCUGAACCAGCCAAGUAGCGUGCAGGAAGACGGCCCUAUGGGUUGUAAACUGCUUUUAUGUGGGGAUAAAGUGCGUGACGUGUCAUGCAUUGCAGGUACCACAUGAAUAAGGACCGGCUAAUUCCGUGCCAGCAGCCGCGGUAAUACGGAAGGUCCGGGCGUUAUCCGGAUUUAUUGGGUUUAAAGGGAGCGUAGGCUGUCUAUUAAGCGUGUUGUGAAAUAUACCGGCUCAACCGGUGGCUUGCAGCGUGAACUGGUCGACUUGAGUAUGCAGGAAGUAGGCGGAAUUCAUGGUGUAGCGGUGAAAUGCUUAGAUAUCAUGACGAACUCCGAUUGCGCAGGCAGCUUACUGUAGCAUAACUGACGCUGAUGCUCGAAAGUGCGGGUGUCAAACAGG
rnacentral:rRNA from 1 species